rnacentral:rRNA from 1 species
GACGGAGGAUGCAAGUGUUAUCCGGAAUCACUGGGCGUAAAGCGUCUGUAGGUGGUUUAAAAAGUCUACUGUUAAAAAUUGAAGCUUAACUUCAAAGAUGCCGUAGAAACUUUUAAACUCGAGGAUGGUAGGGGUAGAGGGAAUUUCCAGUGGAGCGGUGAAAUGCGUAGAUAUUGGGAGGAACACCAGUGGCGAAGGCGGCUCACUGGACCGGAACUGACGCUGAGGCGCGAAAGCGUGGGGAGCAAACAGG